UACGGGGGGGUAAGCGUUGUUCGGAAUUACUGGGCGUAAAGGGCUCGUAGGCGGCCAACUAAGUCAGACGUGAAAUCCCUCAGCUUAACUGGGGAACUGCGUCUGAUACUGGAUGGCUUGGAUUCGGGAGAGGAAUGCGGAAUUCCAGGUGUAGCGGUGAAAUGCGUAGAUAUCUGGAGGAACACCGGUGGCGAAGGCGGCAUUCUGGACCGAUAUUGACGCUGAGGAGCGAAAGCCAGGGGAGCAA
rnacentral:rRNA from 1 species